rnacentral:rRNA from 1 species
CCUACGGGAGGCUGCAGUGGGGGAUAUUGGACAAUGGGGGGAACCCUGAUCCAGCGACGCCGCGUGAGUGAAGAAGUAUUUCGGUAUGUAAAGCUCUGUCAGCAGGGAAGAAAGAAAUGACGGUACCUGACCAAGAAGCCCCGGCGAACUACGUGCCAGCAGCCGCGGGAAUACGUAGGGGGCAAGCGUUAUCCGGAAUUACUGGGUGUAAAGGGAGCGUAGACGGUUAAGUAAGUCUGGAGGGAAAGGCCGGGGCCCAACCCCGGGACUGAUCUGGAAACUAUUGAACUUGAGUGCAGGAGAGGUAAGCGGAAUUCCUAGUGUAGCGGUGAAAUGCGUAGAUAUUAGGAGGAACACCAGUGGCGAAGGCGGCUUACUGGACUGUAACUGACGUUGAGGCUCGAAAGCGUGGGGAGCAAACAGGAUUAGAUACCCUUGUAGUC